UCUCCGUAGGUGAACCUGCGGAGGGAUCAUUACAAGUGGCCCCGGUCUUACCACCGGGAUGUUCAUAACCCUUUGUUGUCCGACUCUGUUGCCUCGGGGGCGACCCGGCCUUCGGGCGUCGGGGCCCCCGGUGGUCCACACCUCAACUCUUGCAUCUGUGCGUCUGAGUAACAUAUUGAAUCAAUCAAAACUUUCAACAACGGAUCUCUUGGGUCUGGCAUCGAUGAAGAACGCAGC
rnacentral:misc_RNA from 1 species